rnacentral:lncRNA from 1 species
AUAGAUUAAUCCAGAUAUAUGCAAAAUCUAUGUUUUUGCAGUCAGAAACAAAAAGGGUUUCUCCUAAACCCCAAAAUGAUGGUGAAGAAUUUUGCAAAUACAAAAGAAUCAAAGGCUGAAGGGUUUUAAGAUUCAAGAGGAAACAGGUUGUUUGUGUUCUUCUUACAUAAUCGUUUUUGCAACAGCAGCUUGUUGAAAACUGAAAAAUAAGGGAAAAUAAGGAAAAAAAAGAUAUUGUGAAUGAGAGAGAUGGAAAGCAAAAUGAUUCGAGAUAUGUUUGAGUGAGUAAAUUCAGGAAAGCCCUUGAUUCUUGGGACAAAAACGAAUCACUAGAAUAGUUCUUUCCAUUUUCUCUUUCUUAAGAAAUAGUCCAAAAACCCGUUUUGCAUGAAGGUAAGAUCGAUUUUCUCAUCAUCGUAUUUGUUUUUGAGCAUCCGAAAAUUUUUUGUUUUGCUUUGUUAGUGCUGUAAAACUAGAGAAUAUAAUUUAUGUUUAUGUAUUAUUCAUAAACAUAAGGAGCUACAAAUCAUAAUCUAAUAAAGAAAAGACAAGAUGUCGAUUCUUUCUCUCCUCACGGUCGACUCUCUCUUCCUCUAGCAUUAGGCCGGUUAUGAACCGGACCGGUUAUGAACCGGGCCGGUUAUGGACAUCCACAAUAUGAUUUAUAACACUCUCCUUGGAUGCCAUAAACAUACAGGGAUUGUAAUACACUUUAGAUGUUGCCUCAUUAAAACCUUACCAGCUUACCAGGAAAACCCAGUGGGACAAAACCAAGAUGAAGGAAAAAGAGUACAACACGUAUUACUCCCCCUGUUCUGAACAACUCGCGGCUGGCCUCAUGAACAACCAAGAUCUCAGAAUGGUUCGAAGAUGUGGCCGCGAUCGUCUGCUUCAUGGGACGCCAUGAUAUGGCCGUUCCACCAUGUGUUUUUACAUAGCCUAGAGUCAAUAACUCACUAAGUUCAAUCCCUGAAAUUAUGAAGGACCGGUACUAUGUAAAUAUGGUCAACUUUAAGCUACGGAGAAAAUGCGAUCUCGAUAACAUGGCUGAAGUAUGCAAGCAUUGUUACUACUUCAAAAGGCUUAACCAAUUUGUUCAGUUUGCUAUUAAUAAAGAGUAAAAAAAAAGGAGAGUUGUGGAAUAACAUUAUCUAUGCAUGCAUGUUUAUUUAUCUAUUUCGUCUGGUUUGCUAAUUUGCUACUUUGUUUGUUUUGCAAGUAUUUUUACUUUGUCAACUGAUGAAUUUACUUUGUUUGUUUUGCAAUUUUUUUCUCGGUUAAUUGUGUAAUGUUAUGUGCAUAUAUGUGUUGAUUAUUUGAACACAUGGACCAAACCACCUCGAGAUUGAUUUAGAUAUAAUGUAUAACAUUUUCCCCAAAAAAUGGAAUAAUAAUUAAGACGAAUAAAGAAUUCUACUAUAAAAAAAGAAAAGCGAAAUUGAAAAUAAAAACUGGAAAUUACAGAACCAACAUGAAACAAAACCAUAACAACAAAUGCAUCAUAUGUAAGGUAUCCCUCACAUAACUAAUCUUCUUGUGUCUUGUCUAUUUCGAUGAACUUAGCACAUAACUUCUUGGAAUUAGAAUUGAUGUCAUUCGGAUCAGCAUCUCCUUCCUUACGCCUAGAGAAAGAUUUUGAAACAUCUUCAGACAAAGACUUUUUGUUAUGAUCAAUGAAAACAACCUAAGAACAAAAAAAAGUUUACGUCCAAACAAUCUUAAUCAUAUAUUAGUCAAGUUUCAAAUACACAAAAUUGAUACCUUGCAGGUAGUCAGAAAGGGAUCGGUGACAAUAGAAUUGCAUGUGAUGGAGAUCUUGAAUCUAUGGCUGGUUCUUCUGUAUAUCCCGGUAGCUUGGUAAACGUUGAAAUUCUCGAGAAACCUCCAUUGACCAACCUGCAAAUUCUUAACACGAGCAAGGAAGAGCCUCUUACAGGUACAAUGUAUGUUCACUCCCUACAAUAACAAAUAAUCAUCACUUGGUUUAGUCGUUGUAAAUAGAAAGUUUGAUGCAAAGAUAGAUAACAAAAAAAAUAUAACACACCAUCUUAUCUUCGAGUAUGAACUCGUAAGUGUCUCCUUCAGGAUAGUUUGAGUGUUGUUUCCACGAAUUAAUAACUUGGACUUCAACCUUCCAAGUCGUUUUAGUAGGUUUGAGAUCGUUCAACAAAUUGAUUUUGCUGUUUGUAACCAUAGCUUUUUACCAUGAGAUGUGUCAAUCAAUAGGUUAUAUAAAGUGCGUUUGCGUGAGAAGAUACUCUGCAAUAUUCUCAAUAAGUUUUUUUUUAUAAAUAUUGUGGGUUGUAAUAUCUUUUAGUUAUAUUUUUUUCGCUGAUUUAGGUAACUAAUUACAUUGCCAACUGAUUACGUUUUAAGGAGAUUUGGAAGCAAUAAAAGAAAUUUAGGAGAUAGAUAGCGUCCAUUAAAAUAGGAGUGUGAAUGAAGUUUAGUUUAGAAAAUAAAGGAAUAAUCAGUUGGCAAUAUCUUUCAUGAAAAUCUAAAUUACAAAACGAUUUAUAGUAUCGAAAUUAUUCGUAAAAUAAUCCGCCUAAUUAAACAUGUUUAUUAAAGAGAAUUAUAGAAACAUAAUGAACAGACUGAUUAUCAAACUGAAGUACUUUUGGAGCUAAAUCACUGCAAUUAUUAAACCAAUCCAAAUAUGAAGUGCAUGAUAUGAAAAAGCUUAUAAGAAAACAAAUCAAAAGUACGUUGAUAAUAUUCUUCAAAUCUCAGUGUUUGGUUCCCAUGCAAGAGAUAUUGAAUUCCAAACAAAAUUACUUUUGGCACAACAAUCUGGAUUCCCAAUAUCUUAUACUUUAUGGUUUGCCAAAUUAUUUUCUAUCCAAACCAUAAACUGGUUGUUUUUUGUGGUCGUGGUCAAAUCUUUUUGUUUUGUGGAGAACUGAAACAUAUAAGAAACCCAUAAUACGAGAUCUGAAUAUAUAAUGAAAGUAAACAUAUAAGCCACGUACAUAAACACAUAGUCCCAUAGUCCAACUAUGUAAAAAUGUAAAACCUUAUCAUGAGUAGGCGAUGAGGAUUGCAAUGACUUUAAAAACCAGGAUAUGAACCACUUUCGCAUUUUUUGUUUCCUUGUCUCUGAGCCUCGGUUUUUAUGAUGUAAUGUGAUGUUCUUGAAUAUUUUUGAGACGUGUGGUUAUAUAGAGGUGCGAUGGUGAGAUAAUACAGCCAUUUACUUCAAAUUUAUUAUAUAUUACGACAAAUUAUGUCAAUGCAGCAUAUUCUAAAUAUAUUCUUUACGAUUUUGUGGGAUUACAAAAGUAGAUACAUGUUGUUAUAAUAUAUAGGGUUAGACCAAAACAUAAUAAAAUAAAGGAUCCAAACAACCUUUUAAAGUAGAUUUAUUUAAACUCUUUUUCUUUUAAUAGUAUUGAUAAACUAAACUAUUUUUGUAUUAAAAGACCCCGUACGGUCAUGCGGGUUACAAAUUAAAUCCGCGCAUGACGGAGUGAUUUAAAAUAAAACCUUCAAAUAUUCUUUUUUUUGGUCGGCAUAACUAUUCUCCUUUAUUUAUUUGUACUAUUCAAAAUGCUUGUAAAAAUUAUAACAUGAUAAAAAUGUAAAAUCCUUCUUUUAUGUUAUCUGCUUUCAGAGUUCAGUGUAUGUUUCUUCACGCUCCUUAAGCUAAAAGGUGUUCUUCCACAUAACACAAAACUGGUGAGAUACUGCAAACCGAACAAUUCGGUUGUAAUGAUUUAAAAAUAAGAACAAACCGAAACAAUAAAUCAAUCAUCCAUAAAAAUCGUAUGUGGUUAUUAAUUGAGCAAUCAAAAAGCAAAGAAUGUAGCUGCUAUAAAUAAAAAAAUAAAAAAAGGCAUAUUCUUUUUUUUUUCCUUUUGUUUUUCCCAUUUUGUUUGUUGUCUUUGUUCGCAUCUGUUCCUAUCAAUCGCAGAUAAUCCUCAGCCUCUCUACGUUUCUCAUCAUCGCUUCCUAACGAAUCAGACUUGACCACUCCACUCUUAACCGGACUUCCCGAGGAAAAACCCAAUCCAUGGAUCUGUGGACCCUUGACACGGCGAUCCGAAACCCAAUCUUGUCCUCGGCGAAACCGCUCUCGAGGAAACUGGGCGGCGUGGAGAUCAUCAGGUUUCAAAAGCGUAAAAUUGGGUAUCGUUCUUUGGUUGUUAGAGCUACGUCGAACAAGAGUAACGACGAUUCUUCUGCUUCUGGUAAAAAGGCUCUCCCAUUUAUCUAUCUUCUUUGUUUUGAUGAAUCGCAUGUGGUAAUGUUACUACUGUUCAUGGUGAUGUAUCAAAAAUUGGAUCUUUUCUUAGCUUUGUUCUUGAACACUAGUGAACUCUGUUUUAGCUCUAAACUUAUGCUAAUUAGAAAGUGGGGUAAUGUUUUGUGAGGAUUGUUGAUGCUCAAAGAAGUGGUAAUGCUUGAUUUCAUAAACUUUACAAUUGUGGAGCUGUUUUGUGUUCUCAAGGAGGAGAUGCUUCUCAAGAAAACAAAUCAGGUGAUUCCGCCGCUACUCCAAAGCCCUUUGGUCUUAACACGGAUUGGAGAGAGUUCAGAGCUAACUUGUUUAUGAAGGAGCAGGAAGAAAAAGCAGCAGGUGAGGGUCACAAACCAGACACAACAACAACAUCCCCUGAAGCUGAACCGAGAGCCCUUAAAUGGGCACAUCCUAUUCCUUUCCCUGAGACUGGCUGUGUUCUUGUUGCCACGGAGAAGCUAGACGGUUAUCGAACAUUUGCGAGAACCGUCGUGCUUCUUCUUAGAGCAGGAACCAGCCACCCACAAGAAGGGCCGUUCGGAGUUGUCAUCAACCGUCCGCUUCACAAAAACAUCAAGCACAUGAAAUCAACCAAAACCGAGCUCGCUACCACCUUCUCAGAAUGUUCCUUGUACUUUGGUGGGCCUCUUGAAGCCAGCAUGUUCCUGUUGAAAACCGCCGAUAAAACCAAGAUACCUGGGCUUGAAGAAGUCAUGCCCGGCCUUAACUUUGGUGCUCGAAACACUUUGGAUGAAGCUGCGGUACUUGUGAAGAAGGGAUUGCUUGAGCCACAGGACUUUAGAUUCUUUGUUGGUUACGCAGGUUGGCAGCUGGAUCAGCUCAGAGAAGAGAUCGAAUCAGAUUACUGGCAUGUCGCUGCGUGCAGCUCCGAGUUAAUAUGUGGAGCUUCACCGGAAAACUUGUGGGAAGAGAUAUUGCAGUUAAUGGGCGGUCAAUACUCUGAGCUUAGCCGGAAGCCCAAGCUGGAUAUGUAGACGCUUGCUUAUGUUUUGAAAAUGAUGCCUAGUUUUCCAAGGCUUAUUUAUAAGCCAAAUGUAUAGCUUUACUUCACUGUCUUGUAUUUGAGAGAAUAAAGCACUUCUAUAGUUAUAUAUAUAUAUUCUGGAAACUUCUUUGUAAUAUAACUAAAAACCGUCUAUCUAUGAAUUUAGUUUGCACUACUAAACCAGUAGUUCUGAAUAUACACAUCUGUUUUUACUUGUCCUAACCAAAAUAAAUGUCUUAGAAAGAGAGAAAGAAACAAAAAGUUGUUGCCAUGAUCUUUUCUUGUUUCAUUGCUUCUUCACUAGGCACAUGCUCUCACUGGGAUAUCUUUCUUCUUCUUUACUGCAGAUUUGUCAAGGCGGGACUUGCGUACAGCUUCUUGGAUUCCUCUCUCGUGAUCUUUCAUCAUAUCUUCAAUGUUACCACCAGGAGGCAUCAAAGGACCUGAACAGUGCAUUAUGUUCUUCUUGCGCAUGUAUGUCUGAAACAACAUAUCAAGAAACAUCUCAGAAGUCAAUUGUCUAAAAGACGAGAGUUAAAAGAGUUAUUACCGUUGUGGGUUUUCUUGAAGCUACGUUUUCCUUUUGGGAAGAGCUAGAUAAGUAGUCACCCAUUGUAGAAAGCACAUUGUUAGACCGGCUAGCUCUCACCUCUCCUACAUUGCUCUUAGAGCCACCAUUCUUAUUCCAUGCCGCGCUUGGAUGGAUCAUUGACUUGGUAUCAGCAAAGCGUUUUCCACUCGGUUUCUUGAACCCAAGAGGAGUGUUGAUUAAGACAUUUGAAUGGCCUGAAGCAAGGAACUCCGGUGUUAUCUUGGAGUCUCUUAAACCUCUUCUCGCAGAUUCGUGUCCACGCCACUUCACUGCUUCCGCUCUUUUCCUUCUUGCUUCUUCGUUUCGUUUCUUUGCGUCAAGUUCCUUGCUUGGAGGAUACUUAGGCAGACUUGAAAUGUGACAAGGGAGUGGCUCCGUUGUAAAAAACUAGAGAGGAACGUGAAUGAGUAAGAUAAUCAUUAAUCAGUUGGGGGAGGUGAAUCAAGAAAAUGAGAGAGAUCAUUUACCUCGCUCAUUAGAGUAGAAGAAGCUGAGCAUCUUGUCUCUGGUUCUACAGAGAGAAGCUUGUCAAGGAGAGCCAAAGAAGAAGAUGGCAAGUUCUUGAAAGUCUCUUGAAGCACACGCUUGUAAGGAUGUUGCGGUCUGUAACUUGUCGCCUGUGGGAACUUUGUCGUCUCCCAGAAUUCCUCUGUUGCUGAACCACACAGCUUAAAUAUCUUAUGCAUUUGCUCCACCUUCAAGAUAUUUAGUUUAAAUCAGUGGAACUAGAGGAUAAAUAUUAUCAAAAGAACUCUCACCUCUGUUCUUCCAGGCAUGAUUGGUUUUCCUACAAAGAGUUCAGCUAGAAUGCAACCAACGCUCCAGAGAUCAAUGGCGGGUCCAUACUCUGUAGAUCCAAGUAGAAGCUCAGGUGCUCUAUACCACAAGGUCACUACACGGCUUGUGAGCGGUUGAUCACUAUCCGGAUUAUAAAAACUAGCUAGACCGAAAUCUCCAAUCUUGAGAACUCCAUCAUUGUUCACCAAAAGAUUCGAACCCUUGAUGUCACGGUGAAGGAUUCCACGGCUAUGACAAUGCUCUAGUCCACAUAGCAGUUGUUUCAUAAAACACUUUAUCUAGAAGCAACACAUAAAAAAAAAAAGUUUUAGUGAAUUUCAUUGGCCAGAGAAGACAACAAGUUUGAUGAAAGUAGUACCUGUGGCUCAGUAAAUUUGACAUGAGGCCUGAGGGCAAGGCCAGAAAGAUCAUGCUCCAUGUACUCAAACACAAGGUGCAAGCUACCUGAUAGCUUUGAAGUGACAAUACACUGAAGCUUCAUAACAUUUGGAUGGUCUAGCUUUCUCAAAAUGUUGAUUUCUCUAGCCAUGAACCUCACACUCUCCGGAUCCAUAUUAGCAAACCUCACCUUCUUCAUCGCCACUAUUUGGCCUGUCUCAAGAUCCCUAGCCUUAUACACAAUGCUGUAAGUCCCUUGUCCUAUCUGCAAAAUACAAUGUUCCAUACUAAUUAUUAUUACAAUACAAUAAAACCAAAUCCUAUGUGUGAUUCAUCAGACAAAUGAAAAGAGAGACUAACUUUGUCAAGCUUCUCAAAGGAAUCUGCACGGCGAGGAACCCAACCUUUGAUGGCUUCACCUGCUACAGAGGUCAACCAAUAAGGCCAUCCAGCAGCAAUAAGCUCUGCUUCUGCGCUACGAGGAACAUUCGAAAUAAUCAACCCUUCUCCUUUGCCGUUGUCUGAGACUCUUCUUCCUCGAUGAGACCUCGAAGGUCUCUCCACGAUGACUGUUUUACCAUCAUGAAUAUCAUCUACAGGAACAAUCAAACCGCUCGCUCUUCUUCCACCACCGGAGCUUCCAUCAACGGCUUUAUGAGAGAAGUCGUCUUUAUUUGAAGGCACAGAAGCAAGCAAUUGCACUGAGGAAGAUUUGUUCCAGUUUUCUUUCUGACGGUGAAAAGCAACGUUGCCUUCUUCUUCUUCUGCUGCUCCUUUUGAGCAUAUGCAGCCCAUAAUAAUUAAACCCUGCCUUGGUUCACACAAUCAAGAAUACAUCUAUCACCAGGAGAGAUUCAGGGAGAUAGAUUAAUCCAGAUAUAUGCAAAAUCUAUGUUUUUGCAGCAAGAAACAAAAAAAAAAGGGGUUUCUCCUAACCCCAAAAUGAUUGUGAAGAAUUUUGCAAAUACAAAAGAAACAAAGCCAGAAGGGUUUUAAGAUUCAAGAGGAAACAGGUUGUUUGUGUUCUUCUUACAUAAUCGUUUUUGCAACAGCAGCUUGUUGAAAACUGAA